GACGAACGCUGGCGGCGUGCCUAAUACAUGCAAGUAGAAUGCUGAAGAGAGGAGCUUGCUCUUCUUGGAUGAGUUGCGAACGGGUGAGUAACGCGUAGGUAACCUGCCUUGUAGCGGGGGAUAACUAUUGGAAACGAUAGCUAAUACCGCAUAACAAUGGAUGACACAUGUCAUUUAUUUGAAAGGGGCAAUUGCUCCACUACAAGAUGGACCUGCGUUGUAUUAGCUAGUAGGUGAGGUAAUGGCUCACCUAGGCGACGAUACAUAGCCGACCUGAGAGGGGGAUCGGCCACCCUGGGAGGGGGACACGGCCCAGACUACUACGGGAGGGAGCAGUAGGGAACCGUAGGCAAUGGGGGCAACCCUGACCGAGCAACGCCGAGUGAGUGAAGAAGGGUUUCGGAUCGGAAAGAUCGGUUGUAAGUCAGGAACGGGUGUGAGAGUGGAAAGUUCACACUGUGACGGUAGCUGAUCAGAAAGGGACGGCUAACUACGUG
rnacentral:rRNA from 1 species